AUAAAUUUAUUAAAACUCGUAUAUAAUCGGAAAUAUGGUCCGAAAGUUUCUACCUGCAUGCCGUAAAUGUGCAGACUACGAGGAGUUGUAUUUU
rnacentral:ncRNA from 1 species